rnacentral:rRNA from 1 species
AUUGAACGCUGGCGGAAUGCCUUACACAUGCAAGUCGAACGGCAGCACGAGUGCUUACACCUGGUGGCGAGUGGCGAACGGGUGAGUAACAUAUCGGAACGUAUCCAAUAAUGGGGGAUAACUAAUCGAAAGGUUGGCUAAUACCGCAUACGCCCUACGGGGGAAAGCUAGGGACCUUCGGGCCUGGCGUUAAUGGAGCGGCCGAUAUCUGAUUAGCUAGGUGGUGGGGUAAUGGCCUACCAAGGCGACGAUCAGUAGCUGGUCUGAGAGGACGACCAGCCACAGUGGAACUGAGAAACGGUCCAGACUCCUAAGGGAGGCAGGAGUGGGGAAUUUUGGACAAUGGGCGCAAGCCUGAUCCAGCCAUUCCGCGUGAGUGAAGAAGGCCUUCGGGUUGUAAAGCUCUUUCAGCGGGGAGGAAGGCGGUGGAGUUAAUAACUUCACCGAUUGACGUUACCCGCAGAAGAAGCACCGGCUAACUCCGUGCCAGCCGCCGCAGUAACAC